rnacentral:tRNA from 1 species
UAGCUCAGUUGGUAGAGCGCAACCUUGCCAAGGUUGAGGUCACGAGUUCGAGCCUCGUG